GUUCAAGUUUGUAAUGGAGGAUACACUUAUUGCCUGGCUUGUCAAAUGAUUUUGUAAAAGAAGUUCCACAACUUUGAUUUUGGAUAAAGCAAAAACUCAAAAUAAGGAGAAGAAAAACAUUGGGUACACAAUUGCACAUUUCUGCAUGAUGUUAUUUUAAUAUGUGAGAUGGUAUCUGAGAACCAUAUAAAAAAAAAUAGUCAGCUAUAAAAGGCC
rnacentral:lncRNA from 1 species